AGGAAGCACAAGUCACCUGGCAUCUGCCAUACACGCAGAGGUCAGUCUCGUAGGGUCCGCAGGGCGUGCCAUCCAGGACCCUGUCAGCCACCAGCAGCGGGGACUCCUUUCCGAGUGCUGCUGGGCAGUGGCUACAGAGCUGUGAUAGGAGGCCUGGAGGUCCUGGAAGAAACUGAACGAAAGUCUAGAAUGGGACACAGAGAUCACAGUGACAACUCAGGAGAGCCAUGCCAGCAGCGAGAUGGAAGCCCAUGUUCCCUCUGCUUCUGGAACAAUGUGCAGGGCCAGCCACACGCCUCUCUGUUCCAUCUUGGUGUUCUUUGACCGUUACUGUUUACUCUGAAUGAGGAACCCUCGGGGACCCCAAAUACCAAGGGAUAAAAUGGUACUGCUGCAAACAAAUCACAACGUCCAUAAAUAUUUAUGGCUUUGGCUUCUA